UACAGAGGGUGCGAGCGUUAAUCGGAAUUACUGGGCGUAAAGCGCACGUAGGUGGCGACGUAAGUCGGGUGUGAAAGCCCCGGGCUCAACCUGGGAAUUGCAUUCGAGACUGCAUUGCUGGAGUACGGAAGAGGAGGGCGGAAUUCCCGGUGUAGCGGUGAAAUGCGUAGAUAUCGGGAGGAACAUCAGUGGCGAAGGCGGCCCUCUGGUCCAGUACUGACACCCAAGUGCGAAAGCGUGGGGAGCAAACAGG
rnacentral:rRNA from 1 species